rnacentral:lncRNA from 1 species
CUCCCGGUGCCUGCCAUGAAGAUGAAGCUGUUACUACAACACGGCCCUACUGCCCUGGGAAGCACUGACUCGUCAGAGAGUUAGAGUCAACCCAAUGAAGCAAUCCAUUUGGGUGCAUACAGAAAGAUUAAACGUAGUGAGGUAUUCACUGGAUCCUUUAAAUGUUUGGGAACACUCAUUUUCAUACUUCCAAGGAGGCGGGGCUCCGAGCAUGUGACUGACUUCUAGCUAUAUUAUUUAGAACUCGGAGAGUGAGAAGAGACUCCCCUUCAGGGUCAUUCUCCAGGACACAAGACAAAGGCUGAAUUUAUAAUCUUCAAAACCAGUCUGCCAAGUCAAAAGCAAAAGAAAAUGGUGAUCAAGCAUUCCUUCACUGUCACCCUGCUCCUCAUGUAUGCUUAUAUUAUGGGAACAAUUUCAACAAGAAUAGCAGCAGCAACAACAACAGCAAUAGCAGCGACAACCACAACAACUACCACCUCAAAUGCUACAAAAAAUUCAAGUCUUGGGAUGACAACAACCACAACCACAACAACUACCACCUCAAAUGCUACAAGAAACUCAAGUCCUGGGAUGCUCUCAUCUUCCCCCACGAGCCCACAGGACAUACCAAGUCCUAUGAGUACAGCACAGCUUAGAAGCAGCCUCAAUCCUGGGACAAAGCCCUCGGAGCUCAUCUCCAAGAGCACCUGGCAAGGAAACAUGACGUCAAGCCCCUGCAUAAACACGACCGCAGAGACUGUGGCAGGUAGCAGCACGCCACUCAGACCAGUCUUCAACACUCACUCUCUUUUUCUGUGCAGUAUUUUUACUCUUUUGUACAUACUCAGGCAGAAAUGAGCCUGAAUGCCUGCUCACUUCAGCCCCUCAUAUUAUUUACUAAAUGACAAGCACACUAAGAAAAUAAAAUUUGUAUUAAUUUACUGUGGAAGAAAUUAUCAUUAUUCUAGUAAGAUUUGGGUUUGGGCAAGUUUUGUUUUUUUUUUCCCCCCCAGAGGUGAGGACCGAAUCCAAGGCCUUGCACUUGCUAGGCAAGCACUCUACCACUGAGCUAAAUCCCCAACCC